CACAUGACUCUCGGCAACGGAUAUCUCGGCUCUCGCAUCGAUGAAGAACGUAGCAAAAUGCGAUACCUGGUGUGAAUUGCAGAAUCCCGUGAACCAUCGAGUUUUUGAACGCAAGUUGCGCCCGAGACCUUCUGGUCAAGGGCACGUCUGCCUGGGCGUCACGC
rnacentral:rRNA from 6 species